rnacentral:rRNA from 1 species
UACGGGGGGAGCAAGCGUUGUUCGGAUUUACUGGGCGUAAAGGGCGCGUAGGCGGUCAGCACAAGUCAGUUGUGAAAUCUCCGGGCUUAACUCGGAAAGGUCAACUGAUACUGUGCGACUAGAGUGCAGAAGGGGCAACUGGGAAUUCUCGGUGUAGCGGUGAAAUGCGUAGAUAUCGAGAGGAACACCUGCGGCGAAGGCGGGUGCUGGGCUGACACUGACGCUGAUGCGCGAAAGCCAGGGAGGCGAACGGG